rnacentral:rRNA from 1 species
UACAGAGGUGGCAAGCGUUGUUCGGGCUUACCGGGCGUAAAGGGCGCGUAGGCGGCCUUCUAAGUCAGACGUGAAAUCCCCCGGCUUAACCUGGGAACUGCGUCUGAUACUGGCAGGCUUGAAUGCGGGAGAGGGAUGUGGAAUUCCAGGUGUAGCGGUGAAAUGCGUAGAUAUCUGGAGGAACACCGGUGGCGAAGGCGGAAUCCUGGACCGACAUUGACGCUGAGGCGCGAAAGCUAGGGUAGCAAACGGG